UACAGAGGUCGCGAGCGUUAAUCGGAUUUACUGGGCGUAAAGCGUGUGUAGGUGGUUGUUCAAGUCGGUUGUGAAAUCCCCGGGCUCAACCUGGGAAUUGCAUCUGUGACUGCAUAGCUAGAGUACGGUAGAGGGGGAUGGAAUUCCGCGUGUAGCAGUGAAAUGCGUAGAUAUGCGGAGGAACACCGAUGGCGAAGGCAAUCCCCUGGACCUGUACUGACGCUCAUGCACGAAGGCGUGGGGAGCAAACAGG
rnacentral:rRNA from 1 species